ensembl:lncRNA
GAGAGGCUAUAUGGGAUGCUGUCUCUGAGGGCUGGCCCUGGGACCACACUGCCUGAGUUUGAAUCUGGCUCCACCAUUUAUUAGUGUGUGAUUUGGGAAAAAGCAAAAUGCACUUUCGUCUUUGCCUCCAAAAGUAAUAAAGAAAAUUGUCGUAAAUGGGAUCCAGAUGAACAAGGUUCCCUGUGGGAACAAAAGAGUCUCAGUCGACAGACAGAGAGAAGCAGGAUCUGCGACCCUCCGCUGCGCGUCUGUCAUACGCGGGAUUUGUAUGCAGAGAGGAAAAGAAUUGCUGAAUAGGAUUACUACUCCGAAGGGGAAAACAAAAGAAGUUUAACAAUCAAUGCAUGAAAGAGAGCAAGCAAACCUCUCCACGGAGGUCGAAGAGAAAGAAAAGAGUUUCUUACUGAAUAAGCGCUAAACCAGAAUGUGAUGCUCAUCACAGGCCAUCUGCUAAGAGAUUGCAAAGACACAAAGAAACCUCCCUCAUCGACAGACAUGUGGCUACUACCCGCCAGGAGCUGGUUUUGCAACUUGGAGCCGAAGUUAGGGUCCUACCCUCCCACAGAAACUAGGAGACGGGGCACAGCUUCCCCGAUGAUUACAUUUCAAAGAGAUGGGUCCCGGGUCCUUGAGAAAGACACACCUGGGUGGUAAAGCUGGCAAGAGGCUUAUUUAGCUUUUGAGAAGAUUUACAUACAUUUCAAGGAGACAGAGAAAGCACUUCCAUUUCAAGUUUUCUAAAGUCACGAGUGCUUACUCACGGUGGAGGACUUGAGAGCUGGGAGGCCAGCGGGCUGGAGCUCAGUGAAGCCACAGAGCCGAGUUGCGGAUCACCAGACAUGGCAAGGAGGACCAGGGCAUCCAGGAGGACCACUGCUGGGGCUUUGCUGCGUCCUGGCAGGGGUCAUCCUUGGGGAAGUUCAGUCUGCUCAAUUCCGGGAGUUUGGGAAUGGCUUGGAGAAGACUUUGGCAUGAAAAGAGCUUUUCCUCUUAGAAAAGUUGAACCAAGUUGGUUAAUAAAGUUACCCAAUGUCGUUCCGAUCAAAAGGGUCCAAAUUAUGCCUCAGUCCUGCGGCCAUAGCUGCACUGAGGGGUGGCGUGAAACUGCUUGUGGGAGGCACGUAGAUAGGAAUCAUUACCGUUUAUUGACUGCUUGCUGAGAGCCAGGCUCUCUGCAGAACCUUUACUUCAGGAUCUUAUUUAUUAAGACGCACAAUGUUCUCCAGAGGAGACAGGUCUCUUCCUGUUUGGGAACAAUCAGGAGAGAGAAAAAUUCAACCCAGGGCAGGUCUCAGUGCCAAGAGGAGCUGUCCUAGUGAGAUGACCUCCUCUUCCACAGUGCAGGUCCCCCGGACAGGAAAGACCCUGCCCUCUCAGGCACCCCACGUCUUGGUCUCCUCCACCCACCCAGUGCCAGGGAAGCCAGUCCGUCUCCAACCCAGGCUGCCCUUGCUUUAGGAGGGAUGGCUUGCUGAGCACUGCGCUAUGAGCUUAUUGUUACAUUAACUCAUUCAUCCUCACCAUAAUCCUAUGAGGGAGGAUAGUAUUUUUGUCCCUAUUUUACAGAUGAGGACAAUGAGGCACGGAGGGGAUGAAGAAUUGCCCAGGAUCCCACAACUAGAGGCUGACAGAGACGAGUUCUACCCGUGUUCAGUCUUCGUCUCCCUGCUACAGUAUCCUGCCAAGGUUCCAACUCAAUUUACACGAUUCCACCCUUUGGCUUCACAGCUGGGUGACUGGACUCAGGCGGGGUUAAGAGGGUCUGAAGAAUUGUGGGAAGGUGUCUUAUCCUGCAAAAUUGAUCAAUAAACAGGCAAAAAGCAAUCAGGAUUGUAGAAUGGGUUAGUUGGCUAGGCCUGCCGUAACAGACUGAGUGGCUUAAAUAAAUUUAUAGUCUUACAAUUCCGG